GUCUGGCUCAGAUUGAACGCUGGCGGCAGGCUUAACACAUGCAAGUCGAAUGGUAACAUAAAGAGGCUUGCUUCUUUGAUGACGAGUGGCGGACGGGUGAGUAAUGCUUGGGAAUCUAGCUUAUGGAGGGGGAUAACUACGGGAAACUGUAGCUAAUACCGCGUAGAAUCGAGAGAUGAAAGUGUGGGACCUUCGGGCCACAUGCCAUAGGAUGAGCCCAAGUGGGAUUAGGUAGUUGGUG
rnacentral:rRNA from 1 species